GAUGAACGCUAGCUACAGGCUUAACACAUGCAAGUCGAGGGGCAGCAUGGUCUUAGCUUGCUAAGGCCGAUGGCGACCGGCGCACGGGUGAGUAACACGUAUCCAACCUGCCGUCUACUCUUGGACAGCCUUCUGAAAGGAAGAUUAAUACAAGAUGGCAUCAUGAGUCCGCAUGUUCACAUGAUUAAAGGUAUUCCGGUAGACGAUGGGGGUGCGUUCCAUUAGAUAGUAGGCGGGGUAACGGCCCACCUAGUCUUCGAUGGAUAGGGGUUCUGAGAGGAAGGUCCCCCACAUUGGAACUGAGACACGGUCCAAACUCCUACGGGAGGCAGCAGUGAGGAAUAUUGGUCAAUGGGCGAGAGCCUGAACCAGCCAAGUAGCGUGAAGGAUGACUGCCCUAUGGGUUGUAAACUUCUUUUAUAAAGGAAUAAAGUCGGGUAUGGAUACCCGUUUGCAUGUACUUUAUGAAUAAGGAUCGGCUAACUCCGUG
rnacentral:rRNA from 1 species